UGCGUCUAUAUGGAAGAUUACUCGUCCUGAUAGAAACAGAAUGGAUCAACUCAUGCAUUCUGUCUCAUUCCUUCCUGCAACUUAUGCCAGUUGCUUUGCCACGACGAUCUCGGAUUCGUGGAUUCUCGGGUUUGUUAAGUGAAAAUCUGUUCAUUUCUUCCAUAUCCGAAAAUGAAUCAAUGAUGGCAACAUUCGGUGGAUUCCAUCUAACUGAGUGCGGAGAUUCGAACUUGGGACAUGAUUAUUUAAUUGGCAUAUCAAGUUUUGUUUAUAAGCAUUUGUAGCCCUAUGAUGGCUUGCACUUCAAUAAAAUACCACCUCACCCUCAUUUAUAAGA